UCCUUGUUAGUAUAGUGGUGAGUAUCCCCGCCUGUCACGCGGGAGACCGGGGUUCGAUUCCCUGAUGGGGAG
rnacentral:tRNA from 1 species